rnacentral:rRNA from 1 species
AUUGAACGCUGGCGGCAGGCCUAACACAUGCAAGUCGAACGGUAACAGGAAGCAGCUUGCUGCUUCGCUGACGAGUGGCGGACGGGUGAGUAAUGUCUGGGAAGCUGCCUGAUGGAGGGGGAUAACUACUGGAAACGGUAGCUAAUACCGCAUAAUGUCGCAAGACCAAAGAGGGGGACCUUCGGGCCUCUUGCCAUCGGAUGUGCCCAGAUGGGAUUAGCUUGUUGGUGGGGUAACGGCUCACCAAGGCGACGAUCCCUAGCUGGUCUGAGAGGAUGACCAGCUACACUGGAACUGAGACACGGUCCAGACUCCUACGGGAGGCAGCAGUGGGGAAUAUUGCACAAUGGGCGCAAGCCUGAUGCAGCCAUGCCGCGUGUAUGAAGAAGGCCUUCGGGUUGUAAAGUACUUUCAGCGGGGAGGAAGGGAGUAAAGUUAAUACCUUUGCUCAUUGACGUUACCCGCAGAAGAAGCACCGGCUAACACCGUG